CCGCGUCGAUGGUCGAGCGGCCCUCCCUU
rnacentral:sRNA from 1 species